rnacentral:rRNA from 1 species
UACGAAGGGUGCAAGCGUUAAUCGGAAUUACUGGGCGUAAAGCGUGCGUAGGCGGUUUGUUAAGUCUGUUGUGAAAGCCCUGGGCUCAACCUGGGAAUGGCAAUGGAAACUGGCGAGCUAGAGUCAGGUAGAGGGUGGUGGAAUUCCCGGUGUAGCGGUGGAAUGCGUAGAGAUCGGGAGGAACACCAGUGGCGAAGGCGGCCAUCUGGAUCAACACUGACGCUGAGGCACGAAAGCGUGGGGAGCAAACAGG